CCUACGGGAGGCAGCAGUGGGGAAUAUUUGGCAAUGGGCGCAAGCCUGACCCAGCAACGCCGCGUGAGGGAAGAAGGCUCUCGGGUUGUAAACUUCUUUUAAUAGGGAAGAGCAGAAGACGGUACCUCUUGAAUAAGCCACGGCUAACUACGUGCCAGCAGCCGCGGUCAUACGUAGGUGGGAAGCGUUGUCCGGAUUUACUGGGUGUAAAGGGCGUGUAGCCGGGCUGACAAGUCAGGUGUGAAAUCCCGUGGCUCAACCACGGAACUGCAUUUGAAACUGUCGGUCUUGAGUAUCGGAGAGGCAGGCGGAAGUCGUAGAGUAGCGGUGAAAUGCGUAGAUAUUAGGAGGAACACCAGUGGCGAAGGCGGCCUGCUGGACGACAACUGACGGUGAGGCGCGAAAGCGUGGGGAGCGAACAGGAUUAGAUACCCCAGUAGUC
rnacentral:rRNA from 1 species